rnacentral:rRNA from 1 species
GACGUAGGGGGCGAGCGUUGUCCGGAUUUAUUGGGCGUAAAGCGUGCGUAGGCGGCUGCGCAAGUCGGAUGUGAAAGCCCCUGGCUCAACUGGGGAAGUGCACCCGAAACUGAGUGGCUUGAGUACUAAAGAGGGUCGCGGAAUUCCCGGUGUAGAGGUGAAAUUCGUAGAUAUCGGGAGGAACACCGGUGGCGAAGGCGGCGACCUGGGUAGAUACUGACACUGAGGAGCGAAAGCGUGGGGAGCGAACAGG